rnacentral:rRNA from 1 species
AUCGACCCCGCGGUUUGAGACCUCGAUGUCGGCUCUUCUCACCCUGGCCGUGCAGCAGCGGCCAAGGGUGGGGGUGUUCACCCAUUAAAGAGGAACGUGAGCUGGGUUUAG